rnacentral:tRNA from 1 species
GAGGAAGGCUGAAUGGCGCAGUCGAGCUUCUAACUUGAUUGAGGGUGGGAGUACAUCCAUUCCUCU